rnacentral:rRNA from 1 species
AUUGAACGCUGGCGGCAUGCUUUACACAUGCAAGUCGAACGGUAACAGGCCGCAAGGUGCUGACGAGUGGCGAACGGGUGAGUAAUGCAUCGGAACGUGCCCAGUCGUGGGGGAUAACGCAGCGAAAGCUGUGCUAAUACCGCAUACGAUCUAUGGAUGAAAGCGGGGGACCGUAAGGCCUCGCGCGAUUGGAGCGGCCGAUGUCAGAUUAGGUAGUUGGUGGGGUAAAGGCUCACCAAGCCAACGAUCUGUAGCUGGUCUGAGAGGACGACCAGCCACACUGGGACUGAGACACGGCCCAGACUCCUACGGGAGGCAGCAGUGGGGAAUUGUGGACAAUGGGCGCAAGCCUGAUCCAGCAAUGCCGCGUGCAGGAAGAAGGCCUUCGGGUUGUAAACUGCUUUUGUACGGAACGAAAAGGUUUGGGUUAAUACCCUGGGCCGAUGACGGUACCGUAAGAAUAGGCACCGGCUAACUACGUGCCAGCAGCCGCCGUAA